CAGUCGCCGCGGGAAUACGGAGGGUGCAAGCGUUAUCCGGAUUUAUUGGGUUUAAAGGGUCCGUAGGCGGACUUAUAAGUCAGUGGUGAAAGCCUGUCGCUUAACGAUAGAACUGCCAUUGAUACUGUAAGUCUUGAGUAUAUUUGAGGUAGCUGGAAUAAGUAGUGUAGCGGUGAAAUGCAUAGAUAUUACUUAGAACACCAAUUGCGAAGGCAGGUUACCAAGAUAUAACUGACGCUGAGGGACGAAAGCGUGGGUAGCGAACAGGAUUAGAUACCCCCGUAGUCCCUGUCUCUUAUAA
rnacentral:rRNA from 1 species